GACGAACGCUGGCGGCGUGCUUAACACAUGCAAGUCGAACGGUGAAGCGCCUUCCUUUUUGGUGGGUGUGGAUGAGUGGCGAACGGGUGAGUAACACGUGAGUAACCUGCCCCCUUCUUCUGGAUAACCGCAUGAAAGCGUGGCUAAUACGGGAUAUUCUGGGUCUGUCGCAUGAUGGGUCUGGGAAAGAUAUUGUUUCGGUGGGGGAUGGGCUCGCGGCCUAUCAGCUUGUUGGUGGGGUGAUGGCCUACCAAGGCGGUGACGGGUAGCCGGCCUGAGAGGGUGGACGGUCACACUGGGACUGAGACACGGCCCAGACUCGUACGGGAGGCAGCAGUGGGGAAUAUUGCACAAUGGGCGCAAGCCUGAUGCAGCGACGCCGCGUGAGGGAUGGAGGCCUGCGGGUUGUGAACCUCUUUCGCCAGUGAAGCAGGCCUGCCUCGUUUGUGGGUGGGUUGACGGUAGCUGGAUAAGAAGCGCCGGCUAACUACGUG
rnacentral:rRNA from 1 species